GCAUUUCGACGCAAGUACAUUGAAACUAGCAACGAAGUGCUAAAGGGAGCAGGUGAUAUGGCUCUCCGUCAGCUUCCAAUCCAUUUUAUCAAUGGUGUUGAAGCUGCUUUACAAGUUUCUUCGGCCUAAGCUUAGACGAUGUUUUUUAGUUGUAUAAUAGGCGUGUGAAGCAACACACAAGGAUCACACGAAGCAACACACGAAGCAACAUGGAAAUAUGUGUCAUUGCCCUUGACAUAUAAAAUAGAUCCGCAUGACUACAAGCUUCGCUCUCAGGUUUCCCUCAAGUU
rnacentral:snoRNA from 1 species